rnacentral:tRNA from 1 species
CAAAGUGUAGCUUAAACAAAGCAUCCAGCUUACACCUAGAAGAUUUCACUCAAAAAUGAACACUUUGA